CUGGAUGACAUUAAGCACCUCUCCUGACACUACACCACCCUGUAGCAUCUCUGUGUAUUUAUAUUAUCUCACACCAAACAAAUUGAACACUGAACAGAUUAAACAAAAUAGCCAACAAAUAGCCAGUAGCUGUUCUUGGCUUUUCCUUACCAAUUGUUUUCAUUUCCUUUCUCUCCCACGGAGUCUUUCAUGCUAUCUGGAAGGCUAAUGUAUCUGGAAAAACAAUAACGAAUGCUGCAGAUACUGAGGAUUCAAGAUGUUGUGGAGACUGGCUUAGUUAUGAUUCAAUAUGUAGGCGAGUCACGAUGAGUUAGAGGCUUAGUAGGUGUUGAUGACAUUACAGGGCUCGGAUCAGGAUUAGUCACGAUGAGUUAGAGGCUUAGUAGGUGUUGAUGACAUUACAGGGCUUGGAUCAGGAUUAGACACGAUGAUUUAAGGGUUUAGUAGGUGUUGAUGACAUUACAGGGCUUGGAUCAGGAUUAGUCACGAUGAUUUAAGGGUUUAGUAGGUGUUGAUGACAUUACAGGGCUCGGCUCAGGAUUAGUCAUGAUGAUUUAAGGGUUUAGUAGGUGUUGAUGACAUUACAGGGCUCGGCUCAGGAUUAGUCAUGAUGAUUUAGGGGUUUAGUAUGUAUUGAUGACAUUACAGGGCUCGGCUCAGGAUUAGACACGAGACAGAUUAUGUAAUUAAUUCUUAAGAAAGGUUAGUAAGUACGCUUACACCACGUCACAACAUUAAACAUCUCACAAUAUGACAGAGAUGAUCCAAAUCCCCUCUAGGAGAAAAUACUCAUUUCCACAGUCUUAGUAGAGAGAGAUCUCCUUAUGGAGAUUGUACAAGAGGAAAGGAAUUCUACCAUCACCAAUCGAUUACAAACAGAGAAUCAGGAAACAAAAGGCAGACUCCUAAUCCUUCACACACACACACACACACACACACACACACACACACACACACACACACACACACACACACACACACACACACACACACACACACACACACACACACACACACACACACACACACACACACACAUAGACACAGACACACACACACACACUGAUUGGCCAGCUCCCCAAACAGAUGUCACAAGCCGUUGUUCCAAGCCAACGUUAGUUACACUAAUCCCAAAAGCCCC
rnacentral:lncRNA from 1 species